CUUUUACUCGCGUCGCACUCAUGGCGAGAAACGGUACUAUCCUUGUUGCACUCGUGAUGAUAAAGCUAAUUGCAGUUUUAUGUUUUUCUCUUAAACAAAUGAGAAUUUCGAAAAAACGCUCAGCUAUAAAAUAGGUAAUUAAAAAAUCUAUUACGUAGCUGAGCGUUUUUUUCGAAAAUCUUCUUUGUUUAGACGAGAAAUGAAAAGCUGCAAUCAUAGGGACCGGCUCUUAACUGUCUAAUUAAAUAAU